AAUCCAUGAUGGGGGUACAAUCUUAGCAUUCCUUUAAAUCUGUCCUAGGCUGCAUACAAAGAUUCACCAUCAUUUUGUAUGAAGCUUGCGAUAAGAUUUCUCAUAUG